CACGUAGGGUGCGAGCGUUGUCCGGAAUUAUUGGGCGUAAAGAGCUCGUAGGCGGUGUGUCGCGUCGGCCGUGAAAACUUGCAGCUUAACUGUGGGCGUGCGGUCGAUACGGGCAUCACUGGAGUUCGGCAGGGGAGACUGGAAUUCCUGGUGUAGCGGUGAAAUGCGCAGAUAUCAGGAGGAACACCAGUGGCGAAGGCGGCAGCCUGGGUCCAGACUGACACUGAGGGGCGAAAGCGUGGGGAGCAAACAGG
rnacentral:rRNA from 1 species